GCUUGCUGCGCUAGCUUCUGCUUUCCUGGUCUCCGCGGGAACGGUGGUUCUACAUGAAGCUGGGCCUACAGACCUGGGGGUGUGGGCCACCACUGCGUGCUGAAGAAACUGAGAGAGAGCGGCUGAUAGCGCGGUCACCCUCUGGAUAAGUGGACCUCUCACCCGCGUAGUUACAUCAAACCCAAGGCCCUGGCCCUGAGAAACGCACAACCACUAACUUACAUCCUGGCUCCUGGGUGUCCUCCACUGCCUGUGAGGUUCCUCUUUGUGAACUGUCCCUGUGUCCUCCCCCCUCCCCCACACCACCGUCCAGCUCCACCGUGCCAUAUAGCAGAGGGAGCCUCAGAGCACAGGCUAGACCUUGUCCCCUCUCCACCUACAGCCCUUCAGUGUCCUGGUGUCCCUUAAAUCAUCACGUGACUGGGCCUCCCCCCACCACCUCACCCUCCCAGCACACCCUCCUGCUGCCUGCUGCCUGCCCUGCUGUCUCCUUCUCCAAAUGGGCCUCAGGGCCCUUGCACAGGGCUGCCGGCCUGGAAGACUCCUCUGGCUAGAGACUCCUGCUCAGUAUUCUGGUGACAGACCUCGCUCUACUGGGACUCCCCUGUUCUCCGACCUGUUGCUCAUGGCACAGAUAUCAGUGUGUAGUUUAGA